UUUCAGAUCAAGCAGCAGGCAUCGCUGAUGCUUUAAAGAAUAUUGCUGCAAUCACAGAUAUCUGCAAGUCACUGCUGAUCAAAGUGAACAUGAUGGAGGGGAAAAUGCACGCCAUGGAGAAGCUGCUCCAUAAUGUGGCUUCUCAGCAUUCUGAGAGCCAAACUCAAGAUGAUCUGCGCCUGUAGCCUUGUAAAGAUGCGGAGGACUUUACCUUGCUUGAAAAUAACUUGCAGGACAAGGCAUAUUUCCAGCAAGCUGUCCGUUUUCUAAGCCUCAUUGGAGGACGGAAGCUGGGAGAAAAUACAAGAAGGACCAUGCUGGCUGUCGCCAGCAAUGCUGUUUGGUGUGGAUACAGACUGUAUGGAAGAAGCAGAAAGCCAAGCUGUGUAACCUUAAAAUAUUUAGGCUGAUCAAAUGUGCUGUGAAGACCUCGCUUCCAGACUCCACAGAUAAGGACAUAGAGGUGCAAAUAAUGGAAGUCCUUAAGCAUGCUCCCCAGAAAGUCAGAAGAGAGGCUGAAGCACAGCAUCGUGCCACACAAAUGGAGGCCCAUUCUUCUGAGGAGGACUAAGUGAACCUGCACCCUUUCUGUUUUAUUUUUCUCUGUUUUGCUCACAAUUUUUGAUUUUUCUAUUUAUAUAUAUAUAUAUUUUUGAUCAUUUUUUUAAGCGCCUUGUGAUUUUUAUUUUGAGAGGCGCUAUAAAAAUGUUUUGUUUAAAUUGUGUAUGCAAAUGCCAAAUCUUUAUGUAAUAAAAAGCUGAAAAGUCAGUUUAUUGUCCAUCCUGUGAAAUUACACCUGAUCCUGCUGCUUACUAUUCAAUUCAAUUCAAAAAUACUUUAUUAAUCCCAGAGGGAAAUUGAUUGCUGUAGUAGCUCAGAAUAAUAAUAAUCAAGUCAUCAAAGAGUUGUUGUAUAUUACAAUGGCUGUUGGCAGGAAGGAUCCUCAAGUCUUGUGAAGAGAAUGCUCAGGGUUGUCCAUAAUUGUCUUGAUUCUCUGGAGAAUCCUUUGCAUUAACUCCUCCAGUGGUUCCGAAAUGAAAACAUGCAGUAGAGCUUUUAAAUGAAUUCAAGACACCGCUGUCCUAUAUUACUUGUUUUUAAGGUUUUUAUACAUUUGUUUUUCCAUUCUGGUUGUUUUUGCUGUUAAUCUGCCAUUUGUUUAGCAAUAUAAUUUCCUGUGGUAAAUAAUGAAUAAAGGUGAAAAAAAAAGUUAACCUGAAAACGUCUCUGCAAUGUGCCACAAACAUUUAGUUGGUACGUUGUCACAACGUUAUAAUAGCGAUGUUGUCACAACAUUGCAGUAAAGUUGUGGAUAUGUCGCGAUAACGUUCCAACAACGUCCUAUGUGACGUUCUGACAACGUUGUAGCGGAAUUUCACUUUGGAAGUCGCUACUACGUAACAUGCGACGUUCCUGCAACAUCACAAGGUGUCAGAAAAUACGUUGCGACUACGUUGUUGCAACGGACCUGUGUUAGUAGGGAGGAGAGCAUCUUUACUUCCAAGAACAUGUGCAAACCUUGUCUUGAC